AGCGAACGCUGGCGGCGUGCCUAACACAUGCAAGUCGAACGUGAAAGGGAGCAAUCCCACGUAAAGUGGCGUACGGGUGAGUAACACGUAGGUAAUCUACCCCAGAAUCUGGAAUAACCGGCCGAAAGGCUGGCUAAUACUGGAUAGAGCGACGGAAUCCGUAAUUGGGUUUUUCGGGAAAGGGAGCCUGUAAAAAGGCCUUCGUUCUGGGAUGAGCCUGCGUCCCAUCAGCUAGUUGGUGAGGUAAAAGCUUACCAAGGCAAGGACGGGUAGCUGGUCGGAGAGGACGAGCAGCCACACUGGAACGGAAACACGGUCCAGACUCCUACGGGAGGGAGCAGUGGGGAAUCUUGCGCAAUGGACGAAAGUCUGACGCAGCAACGCCGAGUGAGUGAAGAAGGCCUUCGGGUUGGAAAGCUCUGUCGAGUGGGACGAAAAUGCUUGGAGUUCACAGCUCCAGGAACUGACGGUACCACUAAAGGAAGCACCGGCUAACUCCGUG
rnacentral:rRNA from 1 species